CCUACGGGUGGCAGCAGUGAGGAAUAUUGGUCAAUGGACGUGAGUCUUAACCAGCCAAGUAGCGUGAAGGAUGACUGCCCUAUGGGUUGUAAACUUCUUUUAUAUGGGAAUAAAAUGUUCCACUUGUGGGAUUUUGUAUGUACCAUAUGAAUAAGGAUCGGCUAACUCCGUGCCAGCAGCCGCGGUAAUACGGAGGAUCCGAGCGUUAUCCGGAUUUAUUAGGGUUAAAGGGAGCGUAGGUGGUUUGUUAAGUCAGUUGUGAACGUUUGCGGCUCAACCGGAAAAUUGCAGUUGAAACUGGCAGUCUUGAGUACAGUAGAGGUGGGCGGAAUUCGUGGUGUAGCGGUGAAAUGCUUAGAUAUCACGAAGAACUCCGAUUGCGAAGGCAGCCUACUAAACUGCCACUGACAUUGAUGCUCGAAAGUGUGGGUAUCAAACAGGAUUAGAUACCCGGGUAGUA
rnacentral:rRNA from 1 species